GUCCCUUUAGUUGUAGUGACGUAGGGGGGAAAGAUUUAUCGCCUUUGGAUUGGCCCGCGUUGGAUUAGGUAGUUGGUGGGGUAAUGGCCUACCAAGCCGACGAUCCAUAGCUGGUUUNAGAGGAUGAUCAGCCACACUGGGACUGAGACACGGCCCAGACUCCUACGGGAGGCAGCAGUGGGGGAAUCUUAGACAAUGGGCGCAAGCCUGAUCUAGCCAUGCCGCGUGAUCGAUGAAGGCCUUAGGGUUGUAAAGAUCUUUCAGAUGGGAAGAUAAUGACGGUACCAUCAGAAGAAGCCCCGGCUAACUCCGUG
rnacentral:rRNA from 1 species